CGUUGCUCAUUCAACUGGUUAUGAUUGCACUGCCGACGGGCGGAAAUCUCGCUCAUAACACCCGGAAUGACGCCAAAAGAAAGGGUGCCUAUCGUCCACCAGACCGAUAAUAUUUUAUCAAGCAUCGGACGACACGUUGAGUGAGGCACCGCCUA
rnacentral:sRNA from 1 species